rnacentral:lncRNA from 1 species
GCCAUCUGUGCGAAGGCCAUCUAUCAGGGCACCAAGGCCAUCUGUACCAAGGCCAUCUGUCAGGGUACCAAGACCAUCUGUCAGGGUACCAAGGCCAUCUGCCAGGGCACCAAGGCCAUCUGUCAGGCUACUAAGGACUUCUGUCAGUGCACCAAGGACAUCUGUCAGUGCACCAAGGACAUCUGUCAGGGUACUAAGGCCAUCUACGCUCAUUGGCUACAGCCUCUCAUGUCUACACCAAUGCUGACAUACGGGAGGCGCCAGAAAAGAAACUGAGGAAGCUGACCUGUUCUACUCUCUCCCAUGACAACACAUACCUGAGGUCUCUUCCUCAAACCAGCUACUACCUGAUCUUGGGCCUUCAGAACCAGUUGUCUCGGCAUGGUUGUCUGAAGACCAUCCAGGACCAUGAGGACUUCUGUUUCACGGUUAACCACCACAACCACAACCGUGGUCCAGUCCAGCUGCAGAGAACACUACAGGAGAUCAGGAAGAGGAUGAUUGGCAGCCGCUCCACAUCUGAUGUGAUGUCAGCGGGAUGGGGUUGGAGCCAGCAGGAGAUGUUAGUACAGCCCCCUAGAAUUCACGUCACCACCGCGGAGAGAAGACACCUGGACCGGAUUGUCCCUUCAGAGACAGGGAAAAGGCUUAUGCCGGGAGAGAGACUUCCAGAAAGAGGGACUGGCGAGAGACUUCCAGAAAGAGGGCCUGGGGAGAGACUUCCAGAAAGAGGGCCAGGGGAGAGACUUCCAGAAAGAGGGCCAGGGGAGAGACUUCCAGAAAGAGGGGCUGGGGAGAGACUUCCAAAAAAAGGGACUGGCGAGAGACUUCCAGAAAGAGGGUCUGGGGAGAGGCUUCCAGAAAGAGGGUCUGGGGAGAGACUUCCAGAAAGAGGGGCUGCGGAGAACUCUGCAGCCUUCCUCCUCUCACAGCAGCAGGAACAGGACUAUACUGAGCAAAUGUUUCCCAAGGUGAAGGUUCCCAAGUUUGCAACCCUUCAGCCUAGUUUUCUGAAGAACUUGAAGACGGUGAUGCCAACUUUGGACAAUGACCCAACACACCUCCAGGGCUAUUUGGGCUAUUCUACCAAGAAGGAGAGUGGUGGAGUGCUGCGCCAGAUGACCUCGACCUCAACCCAGUUGUGAUGGUUGGGGAUGAGUCGGACCGCAGAGUGAAGGAAAUGCAGCCAACAAGUGCUCAGCAUAUGUGGGAACUCCUUCAAGACUGUUGGAAAAGCAUUCCAGGGAGUUGAGGAGAUACCCGAGAAGAGUAAGAGAGCAGAGAUGACUGUGAGGAUGCUGAGACACAUGCACAGCCUGUCCCUUACCAACAUGGCUGUCUCUCAGAGAAUGCUACUGGACAGAGACAGACACUCACUGUGCUGCUGCUGGGAACAGAAGAGGAGUUUCCAAGAUCUGACGCAGUAUGUAUUUCCGAGUGUUCACUCUAACGAAGAGAAGAAGAGGUGUGCUGGGAACCUUCCUCCUCUCCUUCCUCUCCCUCCUCCUCCUCUGUCCUACCAGGAAUGGGAUAGGAUCAACCCAGAGGAUUCAGAGGUCCCUAGCCUGGGCCUGGAAGGGCUUGGGCUGAGGACCACACCCUCUGCUGGAAACACAGAAAUAUGUAGCAAGACUCCUGAGCCUUUAUCCAUAGAGGAUGUGUGUCAACGCAACCCUUCAGUGGUGAUAGGUUGUGGAUAUAAGCUUUGGAGGAAUUAUGACGAGGAGACAGCCUAUUGGGUAUCUUCUUUUGACGUGAAGGCCACUAGGCUACAACAAUCACCAAUCACCAAUCACCAAUAACAUGAAUAAGAUAAAAGGAUUAUGAGAUGAUGUAUUAUUUUGAGACCAGUUCACUUUGAGACCAGUUCACUUUGAGACCGUUCACUGAGAGACCCGUUCACUGAGAAACCAGUUCACUGAGAGACCAGUUCACUUUGAGACCAGUUCACUGAGAGACCCGUUCACUGAGAGACCAGUUCACUUUGAGACCAGUUCACUGAGAGACCAGUUCACUUUGAGACCAGUUCACUUUGAGACCAGUUCACUUUGAGACCAGUUCAGUUUGAGACCAGUUCAGUUUGAGACCAGUUCACUGAGAGACCAGUUCACUGAGAGACCAGUUCACUUAGAGACCAGUUCACUGAGAGACCAGUUCACCGAGAGACCAGUUCACCGAGAGACCAAUUCACUGAGAGACCAGUUCACUUAGAGACCAGUUCACUUUGAGACCAGUUCACUUAGAGACCAGUUCACUUUGAGUGUGAACAGAGUAUAGCCUACUAAUCUGGAUUCCUAUUUUGUUUCUCUUUGACUAUAACAACAACAACAACAAAACGAUAUAGUUGUUUUUACAAAUAAAAUGUACUAUUAGCAGUAUGUAUUUUACUUAUAGAAUGUAUCAUCAACAAUAUGAGUAAAGAACUAAAGGCAAAUAAUGAAUAGAAAAGCAAUUCUUUAGCUACCAAUUAUUUUUAAGAGAAAUUUAACCAAUGUGUAUUUAGAAUGACA